UCAUGAUUUGAUUAACAUAGUGCUCGCUCAUCUCCUUUCUUAUCUUUACCUACGGUCAAUCCAUAUUCCAUACCAUAUCCCUUUAUCCCUCCUAUCUUUAUUUAAAGCAGGGGAAAUUCUCCAAGAAAAUUCUUGGUAGAGUCCCUAGCCAUUUGAAGAACACUCCAAAAGGACAUUAACAACAUACAAUGAGUAAUAAAGAUAUGAAGGUUGAAAUUCCAUCAGAAUCUGAAGUUAUAUCUCCAUCAUCUACUGGAAAGCUUGCUAGACAAGGAAGUAUUUCCAGAAAUAAUUGCUUAUGCUCCCCAACAACUCAUGCAGGUUCCUUCCGUUGCAGGCUUCAUCGUACCCCGACCCUGACCCUCAACCAGAGUAAGAGCAUCGACUCAACGGCUUUCCAGGAUACUCGAUCCAAAGCCAAUCCGAGUACUGAUACUUCCAGGCAAAAUAAUGCAGUGGAGGCUCAGUAAUAUGAACAAUCAAGUCGUUUUUCUACUGUUUCUGUGAUUGAUUUAUGGGCUUUAUGCAAGUUUUAUAUGUGAUUUAUAGAUCGUCUGUUAUGCAUAUCAGAAGUCCUAGCAAGAAAAAUGUUGUAUCCCCAUGUAUGAAUUCUAUGUAUUGGUUAAUUUGAGACCUUUUGGUGUA